GCAAGGGGCAGCCCCAAGUGGGCUGGGCUGCUUUUAUCCCAAGAUGCCAGGAUGUCAGCCCCUGGUGCCGUACAAGCUCCCAGCUCAAUGGGCUUCUCGGAAAGCGUCGAAGGGGGCCUGGAGUACAGCGGGAAGCAGGCUGUGUGCCCACCCUGACCAUUGUGUCUCUGCCAAGAGCUGCGAAUGUUUGCGGAGUGAAUGGCUGGCUGCCGAACAUCCUUGUCAAGAGUGACCUCUCCCACUGUCAGGCUGCCCCCAGCCUGGCGAAGUCUGCCUCACGCAAGGCCCCACUGUGCAGAGCAUGCCCUCCUGGCCCUCGUUACUGGCUGCCUUGUCCUGUCCCGACUGCCUUUGUACUUGGAGGGCGGUAGUGAUCGUCAGAAGAGGGCCAGUGGAGCAGACACAGCCUGGCAGCGACAGCAGAGGGAAGAUCACCCACCUGCUUUUCCUGCCUCUCCCAAUAAAUGACAGAACCGAGCAGGGGGAGCCCAGGCAUUCUUAGAAUGUGGCAGCAUUAUUUACACACUAUUCACAAUGUGUUAAAUACCCUUAAAAUGUUUGUCUUCAGGAGCAAGUUCAACACAGGCUCCUGUAAUUUUGUUUACACUAUUAAUUCACUCAGUCAAGCAUGUCUUCGCGGGGAGGACAGAGAUAACCAUGUUGAAUUGCUAUACAACCCAGCGAGGGGAAAGGCAGGCCCCCAGGAGCUGGUAAAGUGGGGAGAAGAGCAAGCUGCACUGGACUCUAGCUGGGGUUCACGUGGAGCCUCACUUCAUAACUGGGUCCUAACAAAAAGGCCCUUUGUGACAGCAGAACAAUUCACUCUUAAGGUGUAAUAGACAUCUAAGGAAGAUCAUUUUAAACCCCCUGGGAGCAAAGAUCCUGCAAGGAAGAAAAUGGCAUGUGUGCAUAUUUGAAUAAGAGGAUCAUGCAGCCGGGCGGUGGUGGCACACGCCUUUAAUCCCAGCACUUGGGAGGCAGAGGCAGGCGGAUCUCUGUGAGUUCGAGGCCGGGCUGGACUGACAGCCUCCAAAACAAUACAGAGAAACCCUGUCUCGUAAAAACCAAAAAAAAAUGUCACAGCGUGUGUGUGUGUGUCAGGAAGCAUUUCCCAGGCCCACAGAGGAUCUUCACUGGAGCCAGGAGCCAGGUCUAGGACCCAGAACACAAGGCUUACAGGCUGCCAGGCAGGUACUUUUUCCUGAACUCCUAAGUUUCUUGAACCCAGGGCAAGCAUGCUACCACUGAGCUACAGCCCUAGAUGUUUCCUGUUGAUUUUUUUCAUGUUAUGCAACAAAAGUUGGCCUCUAACUCAUAAUCCUCCUGCUUCAGCUUCCUAAGAGCUGGGAUUACAGGAAUGUGUUUCCACACUUGGCUUAGGUCUUGAAGAAAGGAAAGGUGGCACUAACCUAUGAGGGUGUAGAAGGAAACACUCCAGGCAUAGAGAUGACUUAGUAAUCAUUACAGUAGAAAAAUCUAUAGAUCUACAGGCAUAUACCUGUGUGCAUACAUAGAAAUACAUAUGCAUAUAUGGAGAAACAAGGAUGAGAAGGACACUUAAUACCAAUAUAACUAGUUAGCAUACAUAUCUAAGUGGUAGCAUUAAGGCUAUAUUCCCCUCUCUUCUUAUAUACUGCUGUAUACCCUGUGUUUAGUGAGUGAAAAUA